GCGGCGGCGCAUCGCGAACAGCACGGCGACGGCCGCUCGACCUCGUCCUCUGCCCGUUCUUCGCCGGCGGCAGCCUCUCCUCCACACCCCCUGCCUGUUCUUCACCAUCGGCAGCAUGAGUCCUCUCGGUUCUUCCGCCCACCUCGCCGGCAGCCUUCGUGAGUGCGCCCUCUCCGUCUGAUCGUCCCUGCUCGUUCUUCCCCAGCGGCUGGUGUCCUCUCCGCUCUUCCGCUCGCCUCGCUGGCAGGGCGGCAGCAUGCGCCCACUCCGCCUGACCGCGCUUACGAGCACGGGGGCAUGCCCAUCUGUUGGCUGUUGAUGCUGCCGUGCUGGGCCACGGGUGUGGAUUGGAGAUUUGGAGUGGAGAUCCAGUCAGAGUAGGAUCUCGUCAAGAUGAGAAAGCUAGAAUUCGUUGUGCUGAUCCUGAUGAUUUCUUUGUCGUGCUUCUCUGAAAGUCUGACCUGUGAAGCAUAUCUGAAUUGAAGUCUGAAGAAAGCUAAUAAUAUUUGGAGAUCUCUGGUACUGUUAGAUAGGGAGUUUUUUUUUUGUGCAGGUACGUAUGCUAGGCAAUUCAAUUUGCAUGGUGCC
rnacentral:lncRNA from 1 species